rnacentral:lncRNA from 1 species
AAAAAAAAAUCAAAUAUUAAAUUUUCUAGUAAAAAGCAAAAAUUCCCUAAUUUGGGAGGGGGAGGGCUACAGUCCCUCCAACCCACCCCCUGUGGACGCCACUGCUAAUAUUGAAUCCUUUUACUCCUUGAAAUGGAUAUAAUUGAUACUCUACUAUUAUUUGAUAAGUCUAAUGGGUAUGAAUAUCCUCCUUGAUAUAGGUCGUCUGAUAUCCUGAAGAAGCAGUUCCUUUAAGCUAGAAUGGAAUGAAUGACAUUUGUAUCUCCUUCUAUAAAAUUUGACUAAUAUCCCCAGCCCCAAAAUUAACUUAUUUUUUCUAUAAUAUAAUUGAUGUUUUUUUAUAGAAAAUAAAAUUAACUGUUAUGCCUAA